AUUGAACGCUGGCGGUAUGCUUAACACAUGCAAGUCGAACGGUAACAGGCAAAGCUUGCUUUGCGCUGACGAGUGGCGGACGGGUGAGUAACGCGUGGGAAUCUACCUUAUAGUGGGGGAUAGCCCGGAGAAAUCCGGAUUAAUACCGCAUAAGCCCUAAGGGGGAAAGCCGGGGAUCUUCGGACCUGGCGCUAUUAGAUGAGCCCGCGUUAGAUUAGCUAGUUGGUGGGGUAAAGGCCUACCAAGGCGACGAUCUAUAGCUGGUCUGAGAGGACGAUCAGCCACACUGGGACUGAGACACGGCCCAGACUCCUACGGGAGGCAGCAGUGGGGAAUAUUGCACAAUGGGCGCAAGCCUGAUGCAGCAAUACCGCGUGUGUGAAGAAGGCCUGCGGGUUGUAAAGCACUUUCAAUCGUGAAGAAAUGUU
rnacentral:rRNA from 1 species